UACGUAGGGUGCAAGCGUUGUCCGGAAUUAUUGGGCGUAAAGAGCGUGUAGGCGGCCGCACAGGUCCGUUGUGAAAACUGGAGGCUUAACCUCCAGACGUCGAUGGAAACCGUGCGGCUAGAGUCCGGAAGAGGUGAGUGGAAUUCCUGGUGUAGCGGCGAAAUGCGCAGAUAUCAGGAGGAACACCAAUGGCGAAGGCAGCUCACUGGGACGGUAUUGACGCUGAGACGCGAAAGCGUGGGGAGCAAACAGG
rnacentral:rRNA from 1 species